UUACAAAAGGAAAAUAUAGGGAAAGGGACAAGUGUCAUGAGCUUGGAGAAAAUCACCAGAAAUUGGUGCAGUAUAACAAAGCCCCUUGAUCCCAGACUGAGCCCCCUU
rfam:Procavia capensis cont1.214570, whole genome shotgun sequence.